AUGGCUCCCUGCAUGCAUGCCUAAAUGUGGAAUAGCCCAUUGAUUUGGUCUCUCAUGUCUCUGUAAUCUGCCUCUGUAAUCUCUUCAAAAGUUGCAGCCAGAGCGUGGGCAAUGUGCCUGCGCAAGUUUAUAGGGAGAGCCACCGUGGUCCUUGUCCCGGUCAGACUAAAUCUUCCGCGCCACUGUGCCGCGAGGGGUGGGGGGACCAUUGCUGCACACAGGCAAGCUGCAUAGGGACCAGGGCGGAAUCCACAUUGCUGUAGAAGACCCUCCCUCUCUUCCCAGGUAACACACAGCAGUGAUAUAUCUGGCAGUAGAAAAUCCUGUUGAGAAUGUAGGGAUAUAGCGUUCAGUGCAGGUCCCUGCACUCUGCUUUCACCCCGGGCAGGUCCCAAAGACUUCCUGCACUCUGCUUUCCCCAGUGCAGGUCCCAAAGACCCCCUGCACUCUGCUUUCUCCCCAGUGCAGGUCCCAAAGACUCCCUGCACUCUGCUUUCUCCCCAUGCAGGUCCCAAAGACUCCCUGCACUCUGCUUUCUCCCCAGUGCAGGUCCCAAAGACUCCCUGCACUCUGCUUUCUCCCCAGUGCAGGUCCCAAAGACCCCCUGCACUCUGCUUUCUCCCCAGUGCAGGUCCCAAAGACUCCCUGCACUCUGCUUUCUCCCCAGUGCAGGUCCCAAAGACUCCCUGCACUCUGCUUUCCCCAGUGCAGGUCCCAAA